AAUAGUCAAAAAAAUAAAAAUCACACCAACUUUUAGAAGGCGAUGGAGAUGGCGAUAUCGACUCUCGGGAGAUUUGGGUUUUGCUGGUGAAGAAUCACAUUUUUGCGAAGGUUUGAAGGGCUUCUCCGAAUCCUAUUAUGGAUGGAACAAGAGAGGUGAUGAAGACGGAAACAUAUUGGAGAAAAGCUAGAGGCAGAACUCUGAGGGAACAAUUUAUCAGUCUCAGUCUCAAACUUUUUUUCUCGAUAAGCUUGCUGUUUUAAUGAUUCAUUUGUCAUUUGUAUCCUUAUGAAAGUAGAGCAACGAGUUAUAGAAGAGAAAUUGUAGAAACCUUUGGAAUCAUGUUCCUCUAGAACAAGGGCGAUGACUGGCGAGAUGGAAUAUGGUUUUGUUUCAUUUAUUUCUUACGAACUUCUUCCAUUUCUCCAGCCCAAAACACAUCAAUUGUUGUUAGACAACAUUUCCACUCUCGAAGAAACAGGGAUGAUGAGGUUGACGUUGACCUUGAAGAGUUAAUGGUCGUGGAAGUAAUUUGGCUCUCCAUUCAAGCAAAACUGUUUGUUUAGGAUCACGAACACAGAGAAAUUCAGGUUUUGAGGAUAUGACUUCUUCUAGGCAAUAUGUAUCAGAUCGGUUUCUCAUCUUUUGCAUGUAAUAUGUAUUUAGACCAAUUAUUCGUCAUUUUGUUCACGUUUCAACGACGAAACACCUUAUGAUAUGGGUUUAGAUCGGUUUCUCACCUUUUAUGUGUAAUAUGUAUGAUCUAAUCUUAUGUAUAUAGCAUUAUAGCAA